rnacentral:rRNA from 1 species
GCAUAUCAAUAAGCGGAGGAAAAGAAACCAACCGGGAUUGCCUCAGUAACGGCGAGUGAAGCGGCAAAAGCUCAAAUUUGAAAUCUGGCUCCUUCGGGGUCCGAGUUGUAAUUUGUAGAGGAUGCUUCGGGUGCGGCCCCCGUCUAAGUGCUCUGGAAUGGGCCAUCAGAGAGGGUGAGAAUCCCGUCUGGGGCGGGGUGUCCGCGUCCGUGUGAAGCUCCUUCGACGAGUCGAGUUGUUUGGGAAUGCAGCUCUAAAUGGGUGGUAAAUUUCAUCUAAAGCUAAAUAUUGGCCGGAGACCGAUAGCGCACAAGUAGAGUGAUCGAAAGAUGAAAAGCACUUUGAAAAGAGAGUUAAAAAGCACGUGAAAUUGUUGAAAGGGAAGCACUUACGACCAGACUCGCUCACGGGGUUCAGCCGGCUUUCGGGCCGGUGUACUUCCCCGGGAGCGGGCCAGCGUCGGUUUGGGCGGCCGGUUAAAGGCCCCUGGAAUGUAACACCUCUCGGGGUGUCUUAUAGCCAGGGGUGCCAUGCGGCCAGCCCAGACCGAGGAACGCGCUUCGGCACGGACGCUGGCAUAAUGGUCGUAAAUGACCCGUCUUGAAACACGGACCAAGGAGUCUAACAUCUACGCGAGUGUUCGGGUGGCAAACCCGUACGCGGAGUGAAAGCGAACGGAGGUGGGAGCCUCUUGAGGGGCGCACCAUCGACCGAUCCUGAUGUCUUCGGAUGGAUUUGAGUAUGAGCGUAGCUGUGGGGACCCGAAAGAUGGUGAACUAUGCCUGAAUAGGGUGAAGCCAGAGGAAACUCUGGUGGAGGCUCGCAGCGGUUCUGACGUGCAAAUCGAUCGUCAAAUUUGGGUAUAGGGGCGAAAGACUAAUCGAACCAUCUGGUAGCUGGUUCCUGCCGAAGU